UGGGGAAUAUUGGACAAUGGGCGAAAGCCUGAUCCAGCAAUGCCGCGUGAGUGAUGAAGGCCUUAGGGUUGUAAAACUCUUUCGUCGGGGACGAUAAUGACGGUACCCGAAGAAGAAGCUCCGGCUAACUUCGUGCCAGCAGCCGCGGUAAUACGAAGGGGGCUAGCGUUGUUCGGAUUUACUGGGCGUAAAGCGCGUGUAGGCGGGUCGUUAAGUUGGGGGUGAAAUCCCGAGGCUCAACCUCGGAACUGCCUUCAAAACUGGCGACCUGGACCUAAGUAGAGGCAAGUGGAAUUGCGAGUGUAGAGGUGAAAUUCGUAGAUAUUCGCAGGAACACCAGUGGCGAAGGCGACUUGCUGGACUUAUGGUGACGCUGAGACGCGAAAGCGUGGGGAGCAAACAGGAUUAGAUACCCAAGUAGUCCCUGAGCGGGCUGGCAAGGCGCAU
rnacentral:rRNA from 1 species